rnacentral:lncRNA from 1 species
AUGUUUGCUGUGGCUUUCAGCAUUGGACUGGAUCUCUCAGACAACAGAGUUUUCUGGAGAUGCAAUAAAGGAAAUGGACAUUGGUUUUUUGAGCCAGAGGUGACACUCUCUAUUCAGGUAGGAAAAUUCAGAUUUUGCUGCGGUUCCUCACUUGUGUCACACCACGAACGUGCCACAGUCUGUGUCAAAUGGGGAGAAGCAUUGACAUGGCAGCUUCAUCUUCUCCUGGAGUGCUUGGGUACGCUUGGGAAAGGCUUUAUUAUUAUUUUUAUUCCUGCUUUAAUGUGGGAACAGAAAUAAAGGGAAAAUAGG